CGACAGGGCGCGGAACCCGAAAACCUGUCUCAGUUCGGAUUGGAGUCUGCAACCCGACUCCAUGAAGCUGGAUUCGCUAGUAAUCGCGCAUCAGCCACGGCGCGGUGAAUACGUUCCCGGGCCUUGCACACACCGCCCGUCAAGCCAUGGAAGCCGGGAGUGCCUGAAGUGCGUGACCGCAAGGAGCGUCCUAAGGCAAUACCGGUGACUGGGGCUAAGUCGUAACAAGGUAAC
rnacentral:rRNA from 1 species